CCUUUAUGAGAUUUCGAAAAAAUUAAUACAACAACUAACCUGAUUUAGUCACACAAAUUGGAGUCUUUAGAGGGUACAAUAUACGCUGACCUUACCGUUAAGGUAAAUAGGUUGUUUUCAACAGAACCCUUGUUCAAGAAAAAUAGUCUGAAUCUAUCCAAUUUCAAGAAAACAAAUAGUGAAAAUUGAUUUAAUCUUAACCGUUGAUCAAAUAUGAUGAACGGUUGAGAUUAGAAUUGAGGAGAUAAGUUAAAUUGUGAUUAGAAAUUGGGUUAAAAAGGAUUAAAUUGGGGAUUUCGAUUAAGUCAAAUUAAACUCAAUUGACAUAAAUUGAGUAUAAAAUGGAUAGAAUUUAAACAAAUUAGGAAAAUUGAAUUGAAUUAGGUUGAUAUUUAAUAAAUAUAGUAACUAUAUAAAUUAAUACUAAAAAAUAAAUAAAAUUAUUAUUUUUAAAUUAAUUAUAAAUAAAUUAUGUAAAUAAAAUUAAUGAUGUCAAUCACAUAAUAAUGUCAAUGCAUUUCGUAUACUACAAAUAAUUUUUGAUUAAUUAAUUUUUGAAUACGGUAUUAUAUAUAUAGUAAUAUAACGUAUUAACCCGAUCAAUUAUUGGUUAAUUAGCUUCAUUAUUAUAACUUCAAUAGUGUAUUAAUACCUUGAUCAUACGAUGUUAACGUGUUAUUCAAAAUAUUUGGGUAUAUAGAUUCACUACACGAGAUAUAUAUAUAUAGCAGCUAGUAGAUAAUGAGUAUUGACUUGCGAUUCGAUUCUAGCUUAAAGCAGACCAUGACACGAGACUCGAGCCUCAAAUUUAACCCAAAACCAAAGACUCUAGGUCUGAUCAGAACUCAAUCCUUGACCCUUACUUGGGAUUUAAUCCUAACCCAAGACCCAAGAACCAAGCCUGAUCUCAGACUGAAGAUUUGUAACCCCAUACUCAACCUUGACCCAAGACUGGAGACCAAUUUGACCCUUUCCUUAGACUCAAGACUCAAUCCUAAAUCGAGACCUGAGACUCAAGACCCAAGUCUUAGGACCAGACCAAUAGGAAAAAAAUUAAAGUAAAUCCAAAUUAAAGUAGAUCUUAAAUAUGGUCUAGAAUUGAGCUAGUAUUGGGUUAAAUUGAAGAUCACUUUUAAACUGGGUUAUGUUAGGUUGGGCCAAAAUCAGCUCAAUACGAAAUUUUCUUGUGCUCAACACAAAAUUUUAGACGGAUUAGCUGGGCAAUCAAUUUUUGGGAGCAAACAAUGGUUGAAAGUCCUAUGCUGAUACUUGAUUCCCAACCAUAUGAUAAAGUCUUAUUGGUUGACAUUCCAUAAUCCCUAUCUUCUGGUCAGAAUGAAUUGAAGGACCAGAUAUGUUUAAAGCUUCUUUCAGCUCAAGAGAAUAUAUUCUUGCAGGAAGGCUAGAGAACUGUGUAGAAGAAGAGACUCAGGCAUUUUAUGGAUUAAGCAUAUUGGCAAUGAAAGGAUUUGUUUAAGUGGCAUAUAUGCACCGUUUUUAAAGAAGUUUUCCAGCAUAGAAUCCUAUCAGUCCUUCCUCGACCCACCCUCAUCUGCAUGCCCAUGUCAGGCGUGUCACAUGCGCUUCCAAUCCAAAUGUUCGCUUGAAAGGUACUUCUGAGUUCUGAUUAUCAGCUGUAGCUCACAUUUUCAUUUGCACAACACAUAAACAGUAACAUUGAAUGCCACACUUCUGUUUCCUAACUCUUUCUAUCUAGGUAACAGGAAUAUGAGGCAUGGAUGUUACCAAAGUCUCAUCCAUGAGGUUCAUCCUGUCGCUAACAUGCACAGAUCUAUUCUACACAAAUAUUUUGAAGAUUUUGUUCAACCAGGCUGCAAGAGUCACAUGGCAAAACAUUGACAUACAAAAAGACACUGAACUUGUUAGAUGUCUUAAGAACGCCAAUCUGCUGUUUAUAUAUUACACAAAUUAUAAGUGAAGCAAAGACGAAUAUCUAAUGCAAGCCAUUUAUUAUUUCA